GCCUGGGUGGCUCAGUCGGUUGAGCGUCGGACUUUGACUCAGGUCAUGAUCUCGCAGUUCGUGGGUUUGAGCCCCGCUUCGGGCU
rfam:Felis catus breed Abyssinian Contig51583.1, whole genome shotgun sequence. [26-MAY-2016]